AGUGAACGCUGGCGGUAGGCCUAACACAUGCAAGUCGAACGGCAGCACAGUAAGAUCUUGCUCUUACGGGUGGCGAGUGGCGGACGGGUGAGGAAUACAUCGGAAUCUACUUUUUCGUGGGGGAUAACGUAGGUAAACUUACGCUAAUACCGCAUACGACCUACGGGUGAAAGCAGGGGAUCUUCGGACCUUGCGCGAUUGAAUGAGCCGAUGUCGGAUUAGCUAGUUGGCGGGGUAAAGGCCCACCAAGGCGACGAUCCGUAGCUGGUCUGAGAGGAUGAUCAGCCACACUGGAACUGAGACACGGUCCAGACUCCUACGGGAGGCAGCAGUGGGGAAUAUUGGACAAUGGGCGCAAGCCUGAUCCAGCCAUACCGCGUGGGUGAAGAAGGCCUUCGGGUUGUAAAGCCCUUUUGUUGGGAAAGAAAAGCAGCAGGUUAAUACCCCGCUGUUCUGACGGUACCCAAAGAAUAAGCACCGGCUAACUUCGUG
rnacentral:rRNA from 1 species